GGUGAUAUAGCUCAGUGGUAGAGUGCAUGCUUAGCAUACACGAAGUUCUGGGUUCAAUCCCCAGUACUUCCA
rnacentral:tRNA from 1 species